GAGCCUGAGAAACGGCUACCACAUCCAAGGAUGGCAGCAGGCGCGCAAAUUACCCAAUCCCGACACGGGGAGGUAGUGACAAUAAAUAACAAUACGGGGUUCUUUAGGAUCUCGUAAUUGGAAUGAGUACAAUUUAAAUCUCUUAACGAGGAACAAUUGGAGGGCAAGUCUGGUGCCAGCAGCCGCGGUAAUUCCAGCUCCAAUAGCGUAUAUUAAAGUUGUUGCAGUUAAAAAGCUCGUAGUUGAAUUUCGGGGUUAGUAGGUUGGUCAUGCCUCUGGUAUGUACUGAUCCCACUGAUUCCUCCUUCCUGAUGAACCGUAAUGCCAUUAAUUUGGUGUUGCGGGGAAUUUGGACUGCUACUUUGAAAAAAUUAGAGUGUUUAAAGCAAGCUAACGCUUGAAUACAUUAGCAUGGAAUAAUGAAAUAGGACGUUCGAUCCUAUUUUGUUGGUUUCUAGGAUUGACGUAAUGAUUAAUAGGGAUAGUUGGGGGCAUUAGUAUUCAAUUGUCAGAGGUGAAAUUCUUGGAUUUAUUGAAGACUAACUUCUGCGAAAGCAUUUGCCAAGGAUGUUUUCAUUAAUCAAGAACGAAAGUUAGGGGAUCGAAGACGAUCAGAUACCGUCGUAGUCUUAACCAUAAACUAUGCCGACUAGGAAUCGGACGAUGUUAACUUUAUAAUGACUCGUUCGGCACCUUACGGGA
rnacentral:rRNA from 1 species